UAAGGAAUAUUGCUCAAUGGGAGCAAUCCUGAAGCAGCAACGCCGCGUGGAGGAUGAAGGGUCUAUGACUUGUAAACUCCUGUAAAGAAGGAAAAAAUUCCCAUUCGAUGGGAGAUGAUGGUACUUCUGGAGUAAGCCCCGGCUAACUACGUGCCAGCAGCCGCGGUAAUACGUAGGGGGCAAGCGUUGUCCGGAUUUACUGGGUGUAAAGGGUGCUCAGGCGGAUUUGUAAGUCAGAGGUGAAAUCUUACAGCUUAACUGUGAAACUGGGUUUGAUACUGCAAGCCUAGAGUAUGGAAGCGACGGAGGGAAUAUGUGGUGUAGCAGUGA
rnacentral:rRNA from 1 species